rnacentral:rRNA from 1 species
UACGUAGGGUGCGAGCGUUUAAUCGGAAUUACUGGGCGUAAAGCGUGCGCAGGCGGUUUUGUAAGACAGGCGUGAAAUCCCCGGGCUCAACCUGGGAAUGGCGCUUGUGACUGCAAAGCUGGAGUGCGGCAGAGGGGGAUGGAAUUCCGCGGUGUAGCAGUGAAAUGCGUAGAUAUGCGGAGGAACACCGAUGGCGAAGGCAAUCCCCUGGGCCUGCACUGACGCUCAUGCACGAAAGCGUGGGGAGCAAACAGG